GGAGGGCAUAGCUCAGUGGUAGAGUGUGUGCUUAGCAUGCACAAGGUCCUGGGUUCAAUUCCCAGUACCUCCA
rnacentral:tRNA from 1 species